rnacentral:rRNA from 1 species
GUGGGGAAUCUUCCGCAAUGGACGAAAGUCUGACGGAACAACGCCGCGUGAGUGAAGAAGGUUUUCGGAUCGUAAAGCUCUUUCGUUAGGGACGAACGUGCUCUUUGUGAAUAAUGAGGAGUAAUGACGGUACCUAAAUAAGAAGCCACGGCUAACUACGUGCCAGCAGCCGCGGUAAUACGUAGGUGGCAAGUGUUGUCCGGAAUUAUUGGGCGUAAAGCGCGCGCAGGCGGGAUAUCAAGUCUGUCUUAAAAGUGCGAGGCUCAACCUCGUGAGGGGACAGAAACUGGUAUUCUUGAGUGUCGGAGAGGAAAGUGGAAUUCCAAGUGUAGCGGUGAAAUGCGUAGAGAUUUGGAAGAACACCAGUGGCGAAGGCGACUUUCUGGACGAUGUCUGACGCUGAGGCGCGAAAGCUAGGGGAGCGAACGGGAUUAGAUACCCCUGUAGUCC